CACCGCACUCGUAGGAGGCAGCCCCACCGCUCUGGGGGCAGAGGUGGUCGCGGGCGGCCAGGAAGAGCGCGAAGUGCGGGAAGCGGCGGCCCUACAGCAUGUGUCCUGAAACUGCGCCCCGGCGAGGUGCCGAGUGGCAGAUGAGGGAUCCUAUUACCAGCCAUGUGACAGGAAAGGAUAGAGACCAACAUCCCAACCUGCUGUAGCGCGGGGCCGGGAACCGCUGCCUCUGCAUUUGACACCGACGGGUUUAAGCUGCCGGUGCCUGUUCCAGUGCCAGCGCAGGGGUCCGCAGAGCCCUCCGCGCUGGCAGGAACGCCCCGCCGCCAGUGAGGAACUGCCUGGCGACUCUUCUCCCCCACUCCGCCCCAGGAGCGACCCACGUCUCGCUCUCGUCACCCUGCUGUGCCCUCACACCGGACGCACGCCGCGGUCGGGGGAAUGGCCAAGCAGGAGCCUGUCAGCCCCAUAACCCGUGCUCUGCCUGGGGCUCGCCGCUGAACCGGCCCCACGCUCGCCCUCCAGGCUGUGGGUCCCAGGGACUUGUCUGCCAGCAGACGGGAGCGCGCAGGUGCAGCUCGUCUCAUCCCUUGCAGCCGGGCCGGGGGUGAAAAGGGCAACAGAAAAUGGACGCUGUGAACUGCGUACGGGUGCCAUGCAGCCCCCGCCCGCUUACAGCCGCUUUGCGCCAGAGAGCCGCGCCCGAGCAGCGCCUGCCUGAGGAACACGGCCGCGAGCGGCGUGGAACCGGUACCCACGCGGCCAUUUAGGGCGGCGUUCUACAACUGCAAAGGCACCUCCGGCUCAGCNNNNNNNNNNNNNNNNNNNNGAAACGCAAACCGAGCGGGGAGGCAGAACGUGUCAAAGCUGCUGCCGAAGCUUCUGCAGAGGUCGUUGUCUGAGCAGCUGCAGCGGCGCCAGCGCUUCCGUGCUAAGAAACAGCCGACAAGAAACCGGAGCCGCCCAACAACAGAAAGACUGGGACCUCACUGUGUUACCUGUUCACCUGAUUUCUGCUUGUGGUUUGUGGUCUCUGUUUACAAACAGCAACAAUGGCAACAGCAAUGGCAGCUAAUAUCACCAAAUGUGCAGAACUGCAUUGGAAGUAAACGAGUGAUUGAUCCAGGCCUGCAGAGGCUGAUGAAAUGUGUCAUCAUUGCUGAUGUAUUGUGCACUUUCCACAAUUCUUUGGAAGAUGCUCAGAAUGGAGAAUCUGUUGAUAUGAGUUAUUUGAUGAGUUCUUUUGGGAACAAUUAACUCAGCAUUAAAAGUGCUUCAAUAUGUUAUGUGGCCUUGCAUCACUGGUGGUUUGAAACAUUGCCAUCUUGAGGACAUAUGCAGUGUACAUAGUAUAUGAAUAAAUCAAAGUUGAAACUGUUAGAAAAUAUUGUG
rnacentral:lncRNA from 14 species